GUACCGGCUUCUGCAGCACACACGCUGACACACACACUGAAACUGGGGCAGUAUGGAGAAGUUUAGCAUGCCUCUUGUGCAAGGAUGGCACAGAGAUUCAUGAUGAAUUCCAUUUUUUG
rnacentral:snRNA from 1 species